UACGUAGGGUGCAAGCGUUGUCCGGAAUUAUUGGGCGUAAAGAGCUCGUAGGCGGUCUGUCACGUCGGCUGUGAAAACCCGAGGCUCAACCUCGGGUCUGCAGUCGAUACGGGCGGACUGGAGUUCGGCAGGGGAGACUGGAAUUCCUGGUGUAGCGGUGAAAUGCGCAGAUAUCAGGAGGAACACCGGUGGCGAAGGCGGUUCUCUGGGGCAUUACCUGACGCUGAGGAGCGAAAGCGUGGGGAGCGAACAGG
rnacentral:rRNA from 1 species